rnacentral:Y_RNA from 1 species
AAUGGAGCUGAAGGUAGUGAGUUAUCUCAAUUGAUUUUUCACAGUUACAGAUCGAACUCCUUGUUCUACUCCUUCCCUCCUUCUGACUGUGCACUUGACUGGUCUUAA